UAUUAGGUUGGCGCAAAAGUAAUUGCGGUUUUUGUCAUCACUUUUUGAUGGCAAAAACUGCAAUUACUUUUGCGCCAACCUAAUA
rfam:Chlorocebus sabaeus isolate 1994-021 chromosome 21, whole genome shotgun sequence.